GUGGGGAAUAUUGGACAAUGGGCGAAAGCCUGAUCCAGCAAUGCCGCGUGAGUGAUGAAGGCCUUAGGGUUGUAAAGCUCUUUUACCAGGGAUGAUAAUGACAGUACCUGGAAAAUAAGCUCCGGCUAACUCCGUGCCAGCAGCCGCGGUAAUACGGAGGGAGCUAGCGUUGUUCGGAAUUACUGGGCGUAAAGCGCACGUAGGCGGUUACUCAAGUCAGAGGUGAAAGCCCGGGGCUCAACCCCGGAACUGCCUUUGAAACUAGGUAACUAGAAUCUUGGAGAGGUCAGUGGAAUUCCGAGUGUAGAGGUGAAAUUCGUAGAUAUUCGGAAGAACACCAGUGGCGAAGGCGACUGACUGGACAAGUAUUGACGCUGAGGUGCGAAAGCGUGGGGAGCAAACAGGAUUAGAUACCCGGGUAGUCC
rnacentral:rRNA from 1 species